GACGAACGCUGGCGGCGUGCCUAAUACAUGCGAGUCGAACGCUUCUUUCCUCCCGAGUGCUUGCCCUCAAUUGGAAAGAGGAGUGGCGGACGGGUGAGUAACACGUGGGUAACCUACCCAUCAGAGGGGGAUAACACUUGGAAACAGGUGCUAAUACCGCAUAACAGUUUAUGCCGCAUGGCAUAAGAGUGAAAGGCGCUUUCGGGUGUCGCUGAUGGAUGGACCCGCGGUGCAUUAGCUAGUUGGUGAGGUAACGGCUCACCAAGGCCACGAUGCAUAGCCGACCUGAGAGGGUGAUCGGCCACACUGGGACUGAGACACGGCCCAGACUCCUACGGGAGGCAGCAGUAGGGAAUCUUCGGCAAUGGACGAAAGUCUGACCGAGCAACGCCGCGUGAGUGAAGAAGGUUUUCGGAUCGUAAAACUCUGUUGUUAGAGAAGAACAAGGACGUUAGUAACUGAACGUCCCCUGACGGUAUCUAACCAGAAAGCCACGGCUAACUACGUG
rnacentral:rRNA from 1 species